GAUGAACGCUGGCGGCGUGCCUAAUACAUGCAAGUCGAGCGAACAGACGAGGAGCUUGCUCCUCUGACGUUAGCGGCGGACGGGUGAGUAACACGUGGAUAACCUACCUAUAAGACUGGGAUAACUUCGGGAGACCGGAGCUAAUACCGGAUAAUAUAUUGAGCCGCAUGGUUCAAUAGUGAAAGACGGUUUUGCUGUCACUUAUAGAUGGAUCCGCGCCGCAUUAGCUAGUUGGUAAGGUAACGGCUUACCAAGGCAACGAUGCGUAGCCGACCUGAGAGGGUGAUCGGCCACACUGGAACUGAGACACGGUCCAGACUCCUACGGGAGGCAGCAGUAGGGAAUCUUCCGCAAUGGGCGAAAGCUUGACGGAGCAACGCCGCGUGAGUGAUGAAGGUCUUCGGAUCGUAAAACUCUGUUAUUAGGGAAGAACAAAUGUGUAAGUAACUAUGCACGUCUUGACGGUACCUAAUCAGAAAGCCACGGCUAACUACGUG
rnacentral:rRNA from 1 species